AGAAUCAACGCUGGCGGCGUGCCUAACACAUGCAAGUCGAACGAGAAAGUGGAGCAAUCCAUGAGUAAAGUGGCGCACGGGUGAGUAACACGUGACUAACCUACCCUUGAGUGGGGGAUAACCUAGGGAAACCUGGGCUAAUACCGCAUAAUACCUUCGGGUCAAAGGAGCAAUUCGCUUAAGGAGGGGGUCGCGGCCGAUUAGUUAGUUGGCGGGGUAAUGGCCCACCAAGACUGUGAUCGGUAUCCGGCCUGAGAGGGCGCACGGACACACUGGAACUGAAACACGGUCCAGACUCCUACGGGAGGCAGCAGUGGGGAAUUUUGCGCAAUGGGGGAAACCCUGACGCAGCAACGCCGCGUGGAGGAUGAAGUCCCUUGGGACGUAAACUCCUUUCGAUCGGGACGAUUAUGACGGUACCGGAAGAAGAAGCCCCGGCUAACUUCGCGCCAGCAGCCGGGGC
rnacentral:rRNA from 1 species